rnacentral:lncRNA from 1 species
GCAUCACAAAAGUAUUAAAGGUUGUUGGCAUUAAAGAAAUAAAAGAACGAAGAACGAAGAACACUAAUGAAGAUGGAGAUUCGAUGAUGCUCUUCUUGUUGGCUCCCUCUUCUUGGUGGCUACUCUCUAAAAUUUCCUAAUGAAAUCGAGCGCACUUCUUUGGAUGACCUAAAAGAAGUAUAUAUAGUCUCUGGGGUCGUCGUGAAUUUCUAGGGUUUUCAGAAUAAAUGAAGGGAAUGACUUGGGCUUAAAACAUUCCUCUUAGAUUCCAGAAAUCGGUCCACCGCGGUCGUGAUAGCUGGAGCUGCGGUAAAAUGCAUCAUGGCCAUGGGUGACGGGUCAGACGUUGAUUGAUAUCAAGGCAGUGUCGUAUGCCUUCAGUGCAUCAAGAAUAUCUGAAUAUGUAACUAUUGGAAUGUCACCAAGCCAAUUGAAUUAGAAAUCUGGUUGUCUCCUAAUGUUGUGUAAAGUUUGGGGAUAAUUAGACGGUGAGAAGAUCUUCAUUCGUUGUCAAAGUUCUGACCGUAUGAAUGUAUCCAGAAGUAUUAUUUUGCUCCAAAAUGCACUUCUUUAGUCCAAGUAAUCUGAAAAGUCUUUUGAAACCUUAAAACAUAGAAAUCACUUAAAAUCAUUGAAAACUAAGUUAAAACUAAUAUAAAAUAUUAAGAUUAUCCAUAAAAAUGGUCAAAAUACAGUGUUUUUAACUCUCUGAUAUUUAAAUCUUUGUUUGUUCUCAAACAAAACAGAGAUUAAAGUUGGAAAAGAAAUCAUAACAACGCAGAAAUUAUCAGGACUUAGUCUAGAAAAUUCUCACCAAAGUGCUGCAACACUAGGCUACGAUCUCGAUCAAUCUAAACCUUAGUGCUAGUCAGUUAACUCUCUACAUUCAUUAAAUGGUAGACGACAUUCAGUACAAAAGGCUAUUUGAAUAGUGGAGUUAAAGUGUUUCAGAUUACUUUAAGCUUUGAAGGAUACAAAAUAUUAUACAUAACCGAAAGAGAGUAUGAACCUGUUGAUAUUCAUAGCUUUCUGUCAUUUCUUCUUGCGAGAUGGUUGUCCCUUUUUAAUCUAGGAUUUUGCCAAAAUGUUUUAUAAAAAAAUGUAAUAGUUAAAAUAUAAACAAAUAUAGUUCUCUAAUCUAAUUUUGAAAAAUAAGUGGUACAAAACAUCGGUAUAACGUAAGUUUUCGUUUUUUUUUUCUCCGUACUUUUAAAUUGUAGACAGAACAUAUCAAAAGAAAGAGAAUAAAGUUUCCAUGGGAAUACAAAAUAUUUAACAACUACUCCAACAAAUUUCAGUACACAAGAACACUAUGAAACUUUCGUUAAACGCCUUUAGGAUUUGGAACCUUGAUGCCAUCGAUAGAAUCAUACCACACUAUAAAGAUGCUAUCCUGCUUCUAAAACCAAGUAUGAGAGGAGUACCUGAUAAGAAAGUGUGGCUAAAGCACCCCUCUGGGGAGUACACGGUCAAAUCAGGAUGUAAAGCGGAAGCAGAGGAGUAUGGGAGUACUCCUGUUCUGAAUUGGAUCGCACCGGUGGAUUGGUAUAAACAGGUCUGGGAUCUUAGCAUCUCUCCCAAAAUAAAGCUUUUCAUCUGGAAAGCCAUCUGAGGUGCGUUACCUGUUGGGGAACAAAUGUUAGCAAGACAAAUCCC